CGCCCCCCGACUUCCUGCCCCGCCGCCCGCCAAAGUUGCGGAGGGCGGGGGCUGCGGCGCCGCCCGGGGCCCGCCCACUCUGUCCGCGGGGCGCCCGGACUUUUGGGGAGCUCUGCGCCCGGGGCGAGCGACCUCGCCGGUGGAGGGAUGGCCGGGUCUCGGUCUCUGCGUUGGCCCUGCGGUCCCACUCGGUGGCGAUCAGUCGGUGGUCCCUGUCGCGCUGGGCGCCUCGGCACGGCCCUUCGUGAAGGACAGACCCAGGAGGGGGCACCGACCGGACCGAGGCCCCCCGCGUCCCCUCGGUCCAUCAAGCCGUCCCUGAGGGAUAACUCGAGGCCCGAGGCACACACGGGCGGGGAAUGCGCCCAGAACCCCCAUCCCAUUCUCUGCUCUGGCCUCGGACCCGAAAGCAACCCCCCACCCACCCCCGACCCCGCACAAAGGUCGGGAUUCCCCCACUUUGUGACCCAGAGGCCUGGCCACUUGCAGCUGCCCAGAGGGCAAAUCCUGGCAUCUGAGAUGGAAUAUGUGAGAUUAGUAAGUGAGAGAGAGGGUUGGUCAUGAGGCCAGAGCUGCCUGGGCCCUGGGUCCUGACAGGCCACUGGCUGACUGCAGGGUCCACUGACCCCGCCCUGAACUCCUUCCUGAGCCGCACCCAGGGGUGGGGGCCGUGUUUUCAGCAGCUGGCCUCCCCCCACCACAGUGGCACGGCUUCAAGGGCAUGAAGAGCCAUCUGGCAAUGAAGUGAUGUGGAUCCCGGCUCAGCUCAGGAGCCGUGGGUUCUCAUCACUGGUGUGUUGCGCCACCCUGGGCAAGGCACAGCCCCACCCUGAGUCUCUCGGCCAUCGCUGGGGUGGUGGUGAGGCCACCCACCUGGACACUCGUGGUUGAGUUCUGGACCUGUGUUCACUGGGGCAGCACUGGGCAGCUGCCCCAUGGCCCAGCCCCCUCCUUCGCUGGGUGCCACCCCCCACUGGUGAGUGCAGAGAGGAUCCCCCAGGCCUUUUGCAGAGCUCAAAUCUGCCCCUUCCCCGACUGAGGAGGAAGCCUGGGGGGCCAGGCCAGGGGCCAGCCCACGGAGAGAAGCAGGAGAGGAGCUGGCCUCCGGGACACACCCCAGGCCCUGUGAAGAGUGGUCACAGCAGGAGUAAAAUCAGGCCAAGUGGCCGGGGAGCUCCAAGCUACCCUUUAGGCCUCCUUCCUUUGAGGAACCCACGUAGGGAGGAGCCUGCCUCAGAGGGGUGCGAUUGAGCCUGUUUGGCCGGAGGCAAAAGCAGGUAACCGCCUCAGCAAGAAAAGGGCCUCUGUCCUCGCCGCCUUCAUGGCCUUCCUGCCUGGGCAGAGACCCAACCAAGAUGAUGAGCCCGGGCCUGGGACAUAGGCACGCCCCCCCCUUCCCUGGCCAUGCAGACGGUCGUAUGCUGCCCCCUGGUGGCUGCGGAGGGCACUGUCACCACCUGGCUGCCCAGCUGGACGGGGAAGCUGGGGUUUAGCCUUGAGAAUGGUCACACCGGGAGACUCAGACCUUGCUGCUGUGCGGUCCUGAGCCAGCCACAACCCCUUCAGCAUUCCCAGUUUCCCAUCUGGCAUUGGGAACAUGUGUAUCUCACAACGUCCUUGGGAGACUCUGCAGGCAAGCUGGACAGGAAUGGAUGGAUGGAUGGAUGGAUGGAAACUUGGCAGAGACUCCCUCCCUGGCACUUGGUGUGGGUGUGAUGAGCAGGUCCAGACUGUACCAACACAAAGUAUGGAUCAGAAAGAGGGGACACUUGUCCAGAAAACCCUACUGCCAUCCUCAUGCCCUGGGACCCAGAGCUAUUUGCCAGGACCAUCUGUGGCACACCUCUGGGGCGGGGGGCAGAGCUCCCAUUGCAUCCUGUGGACAUGGUGCCCUGGAGACAUGCUCACAGACAAGGAAAUGGUACCCUUGAGGCCGCACUUCAGCUUGGCCCACGUUUAGCACAGCCAGUGAUUUCUUCAGGGGGAGGGAGAGACUCGGUGCUGAGCAUCAGGGCAGCCCACAGGAGAGCUGGGGAGCUGGGCCCCCAGCCCAGCGGGCAGGGAGUGCCAAUACCAGCCAUGUACCCCAAAGUAGACAAGAAAGGUCACAGCCCCCUCUCCCCACCUCACCCACCCACCGUUGCCCCCUUCCAUCCAUCCUUGGCAACCAGCAAGGACCCAGAGAAACUUGGGUGAGACCCUAUCACUCUCCUGGCCAAAGAGGUACAAGCGAAUUCUUUCCCUAGAAAAUGUGCCCCCUCCCUGGAUGACUUCAUUUCCUGCAUGAAGGAAAGGAGCAGCCACACCUGGCAUGCUCCUACCUCAGGACCUUUCCACUGGCCAUGUGUCCGCCCGGGACUCUUGUCCACAGAGCUCACCCCCUCACAUCCUCUGCGAUCCUCUCCUCCAGACCUGAUUCACUUAGUCUCAUCCCUCUAGACAGUGAGCUCUGGGGCCGCAGGGACCAUUUCUUCCUGUCCCCAGUUCACGCCUAGCACUGCAGACUGGGCUUGGCCUGUGGUAGGGGCUCAGAAAACACUUAACUGAACGAAACACCAAAUGAAUAAACCAACAACUUGGCAAAGUA